rnacentral:rRNA from 1 species
AAUUGACGGGGCCCGCACAAGCGGAGGAACAUGUGGUUUAAUUCGAUGAUACGCGAGGAACCUUACCUGGGCUAGAACGCAUUCGGAAUCAGGCCGAAAGGCCUGCGCCAGCGAUGGCCGCUUGCGAGGUGCUGCAUGGUUGUCGUCAGCUCGUGCCGUGAGGUGUCGGGUUAAGUCCCAUAACGAGCGCAACCCCUACUGCUAGUUGCCAGCGGGUCAUGCCGGGGACUCUAGCGGAACUGCCAGCGUAAGCUGCGAGGAAGGUGGGGAUGACGUCAAAUCAGCACGGCCCUUACGUCCAGGGCUACACACGUGUUACAAUGGCCGGUACAGAGGGCAGCCACCCCGCGAGGGGGCGCGAAUCCCGAAAGCCGGUCCCAGUUCGGAUCGGAGUCUGCAACCCGACUCCGUGAAGCUGGAUUCGCUAGUAAUCGCGCAUCAGCCACGGCGCGGUGAAUACGUUCCCGGGCCUU